rnacentral:rRNA from 1 species
UACGUAGGGGGCAAGCGUUGUCCGGAAUCAUUGGGCGUAAAGAGCGUGUAGGCGGCUCGGUAAGUCUGCUGUGAAAGUCCAGGGCUCAACCCUGGAAUGCCGGUGGAAACUGUCGGGCUCGAGUCCGGAAGAGGCGAGUGGAAUUCCUGGUGUAGCGGUGAAAUGCGCAGAUAUCAGGAGGAACACCGAUGGCGAAGGCAGCUCGCUGGGACGGUACUGACGCUGAUGCGCGAAAGCGUGGGGAGCAAACGGG